GCCAACAUGGUGCAGUGGUUUGAGUGUUGGACUAGGAUUUUAGAGACCAGGGUUCAAAUCCCCAAUUGGUCA